rnacentral:rRNA from 1 species
CAUUAAUGAAUAAACUUGGUCGAGCUGUUGCUGGUCCCUCGGGAUAUGUGCACGCUUGCCACCAAUUUUAACCACCUGUGCACUUUUUGUAGACUGGAAACGUUUCUCGAGGCAACUCGGAUUGAGGACUGCUGCGCGAAAGCCGGCUGUUCUUGUGUUUCUCGGUCUAUGUCUUCAUAUACUCCGAAUGUAUGUAAAAGAAUGUAUUGCUAGGCCUUUAGUGCCUCUAAACCUAAUACAACUUUCAACAACGGAUCUCUUGGCUCUCGCAUCGAUGAAGAACGCAGCGAAAUGCGAUAAGUAAUGUGAAUUGCAGAAUUCAGUGAAUCAUCGAAUCUUUGAACGCACCUUGCGCUCCUUGGUAUUCCGAGGAGCAUGCCUGUUUGAGUGUCAUUAAAUUCUCAACUAUACAAGUUUUUUUACGACAUGUGUAGCUUGGAUCUUGGGAUUUGCGGGCUUCCACAAGUCGGCUAUCCUCAAAUGCAUUAGCAGAGCUUUUGCCGCUAACCUCUGGUGUGAUAAUUAUCUACGCCAUUGAGUUGCGACAUCUUGAGGCUUAGCUUCUAAUCGUCCCGCAAGGACAAUACUUGACAAUCUGACCUCAAAUCAGGUAGGACUACCCGCUGAACUUAAGCAUAUCAAUAAGCGGAGGAAAAGAAACUAACAAGGAU